GAUGAACGCUGGCGGCGUGCCUAAUACAUGCAAGUCGAGCGAACUGAUUAGAAGCUUUCUUCUAUGACGUUAGCGGCGGACGGGUGAGUAACACGUGGGCAACCUGCCUGUAAGACUGGGAUAACUUCGGGAAACCGAAGCUAAUACCGGAUAGGAUCAUCUCCUUCAUGGGAGAUGAUUGAAAGGUGGUUUCGGCUAUCACUCACAGAUGUGCGCGCGGUGCAUUAGCAAGUUGGUGGGGUAACGGCUCACCAAGGCAACGAUGUAUAGCCGACCUGAGAGGGUGACCGCCCAAACUGGGACUGAGACACGGCCCAGACUCCUACGGGAGGCAGCAGUAGGGAAUCUUCCGAAAUGGACGAAAGUCUGACGGAGCAACGCCGCGUGAGUGAUGAAGGCUUUCGGGUCGUAAAACUCUGUUGUUAGGGAAGAACAAGUACAAGAGUAACUGCUUGUACCUUGACGGUACCUAACCAGAAAGCCACGGCUAACUACGUGCCAGCCGCCGCGGUAAUAC
rnacentral:rRNA from 1 species